GCUACUGCUAUCGGGGUUCGAUUAAGCCAUGCGAGUUAAAUGUUCUUCGUGAACAUAGCGAACUGCUCAGUAACACGUGGAUAACCUACCCUUAGGACCGGAAUAACCCCGGGAAACUGGGGAUAAUACCGGAUAAGCCAUAGGCGCUGGAAUGCCCUAUGGUUCAAAGCUCCGGCGCCUAAGGAUGGAUCUGCGGUCUAUCAGGUUGUAGUGGGUGUAACGUACCUACUAGCCGACGACGGAUACGGGUUGUGAGAGCAAGAGCCCGGAGAUGGAUUCUGAGACACGAAUCCAGGCCCUACGGGGUGCAGCAGGCGCGAACACUUUACAAUGCGGGAAACCGCGAUAAGGGAACCCCGAGUGCCAGCAUCAAAUGUUGGCUGUCCAGAUGAUUAAAAAUCAUUUGUUAGCAAGGGCCGGGCAAGACCGGUGCCAGCCGCCGCGGUAACACCGGCGGCCCGAGUGGUAGCCGUUUUUAUUGGGUCUAAAGGGUCCGUAGCCGGCCUGAUAAGUCCUUUGGGAAAUCUGGCAGCUUAACUGUCAGGCUUCUAAGGGAUACUGUCAGGCUUGGGACCGGAAGAGGUAAGGGGUACUCCAGGGGUAGGAGUGAAAUCUUGUAAUCCCUGGGGGACCAUCUGUGGCGAAGGCGCCUUACCAGAACGGGUCCGACGGUGAGGGACGAAAGCUAGGGGAGCAAACCGGAUUAGAUACCCGGGUAGUCCUAGCUGUAAACGAUGCUCGCUAGGUGUCAGACACGGUGCGACCGUGUUUGGUGCCGCAGGGAAGCCGUUAAGCGAGCCACCUGGGAAGUACGGUCGCAAGGCUGAAACUUAAGGGAAUUGGCGGGGGAGCACUACAACGGGUGGAGCCUGCGGUUUAAUUGGAUUCAACGCC
rnacentral:rRNA from 1 species